rfam:Oryza sativa Japonica Group DNA, chromosome 6, cultivar: Nipponbare, complete sequence.
UUUAAGGGCAACCAUAAGUUUCCACACCCAACUUUAAUCGUCCAUCUUAUUUGAAAAUUUUUUGUAAUAGUUUGUUAUUACGAGAGGAUAAAACAUGAAUAGUACUUUAUUCGUGACAUAUGUUUCUAAUUUUUUUAAAAAAAUUCAAAUAAGACGAACAGUCAAAGUUGGACGCGGAAAACCAUGGCUGCACUUAAA